AGGGGACCUGGAAACUCUUACAGCUUCACUACAACAUCCAAAUUGAGCCUAGACUAUGCAUUUGGAAAUUUGGAGAGGCUAGGAUAGAAGUUAAAGCUGAAAAAGGUCUUAGAAAUAACCUGGUCCAAUCUCCCCCUUUUUGGUAGAUAAGGAUACUGAGACCUGGGGAAGGAAAGUGAUAUUUGCACAUGGGAAGCAAGAGCAAAACCAAGAUUUAGACCCAAGUCUUCUGGCUGCAAAUCUAAUGCUCAAGUUCUUUUUGCCAGCCAUAUUCACCAGGAGAAAACAGCGCAUAAAAUGAAGCUGAGAAAUGGGCAGGGGAUGGUGACUCUGGUGCAGGAGCAUGGUGGUUAAGUCUAAAG
rnacentral:lncRNA from 1 species